GUAGGUGGCAAGCGUUGUCCGGAAUUAGUUGGGCGUAAGGCGCGCGCAGGCGGUUCGUUUAAGUCUGAUGUGAAAGCCCACGGGCUCAACCGUGGAGGGUCAUUGGAAACUGGAGAACUUGAGUACAGAAGAGGAAAGCGGAAUUCCACGUGUAGCGGUGAAAUGCGUAGAGAUGUGGAGGAACACCAGUGGCGAAGGCGGCUUUCUGGUCUGUAACUGACGCUGAGGCGCGAAAGCGUGGGGAGCAAACAGGAUUAGAUACCCUGGUAGUCCACGCCGUAAACGAUGAGUGCUAAGUGUUAGGGGGGUUUCCGCCCCUUAGUGCUGCAGCUAACGCAUUAAGCACUCCGCCUGGGGAGUACGGCCGCAAAGGCUG
rnacentral:rRNA from 1 species